rnacentral:rRNA from 1 species
AUUGAACGCUGGCGGCAGGCUUAACACAUGCAAGUCGAGCGGGGGAAGGUAGCUUGCUACCGGACCUAGCGGCGGCCGGGUGAGUAAUGCUUAGGAACCUGACUAUUAGUGGGGGACACCAUCUCGACAGGGAGGCUAAUACCGCAUACGUCCUAGGGGCGAAAGCAGGGGAUAGCAUGACCUUGCGCAAAUAGAGAAGACAAAGUCGGAUUAGCUAGGUGGGGGGGUAAAGGCCUACCAAGGCAACGAUGUGUAGAGGGUCUGAGAGGAUGAUCCGCCACACUGGGACGGAGACACGGCCCAGGCGCCUACGGGAGGCAGCAGUGGGGAAUAUGGGACAAGGGGGGGGAACACUGAUCCAGCCAUGCCGGGUGUGUGAAUAAGGCCUUAUGGUUGUAAAGCACUUUAAGCGAGGAGGAGGCUACUGUAGUUAAUACCUAGAGAUAGUGGACGUUACUCGCAGAAUAAGCACCGGCUAACUCUGUGCCAGCAGCCGCGGUAA